CUUACCUGUUUGGCAAACAUGGGCUGUGAGUCCAAUUCCAGGGCAUCUCCAGCCCGCAAAUCUAUCUGCCUGCUGCUAAUAAGGUGUAUCAGGGGGAAAGGAUAGAUCCUACAGCAUGGCUACCGCGGUAGGAAACACUUGGCGAAUAUCCCGCGAAAAAGAACUUCUAGUUCCAGUAGCCUUAGCAGUAGACAGAUUUGCUGCUCAGCAGAUUCAGAAGGCACUGAACAUGAGCAUCUGCAUCACUGAAUUUCAAGGACCUGAGAUUGUGCAACCUUGCAAGACUUGCCAAAAUUUCCUUCCCUGAAACCAGAUCCUCUGGCCACAUGGAAAUCUUCAAAUUCCCAACUGGAAAGCCAGAGAAGGGAGAACCAGAGACCCCCAGUGUUCCAUUUACAUAUACCAAUACUAUAGAGUAAUUAUUCCUUCCUUCAUGUCCCGGGAACCAAACCUGUGCAUUCCAUAACUUGUCUAUACAUCCAAUUGUACCUUUCAGCCAUACUGUAAUGCUCAAAUGAGUUUUUGUGUUGAGUCACCUCAGCCUCUGAUGAAACAUUAGGCUUCUAGAACCCUCAACUGAGGAGUAUGUCAAAGAAAAGUUAGCCCAUCUCCGAGGGUACAAGUCCAUCAUGUUCAUGGCUGUGCCUUUAAAACAACCCUUUAACUAUUCCCAGAAAACAUUAUGAUCA
rnacentral:lncRNA from 1 species